GUCACUAGGGUGCAGCAGAUUGGCCUUCGUCUCUGUUCGGGUUUUCUCCUCUCCCAACACAAAGUUGCAGACCCAUUAUUCCUCGCAAACCAAUCUUUCUUGCUCUCACUUUGAAGCUUUUUCUUCUCUGCUUCAGUGUCUAGAAGUUUAUGGUUUUCUGAAUUUGACGGUGAGUUCCCAGGUUAACCAAUCACUAGAGGAUCACUAUAUAGUUGCAUUUACAUUAAUAAUUUAUAUAAUCAAUGGCCAUGAUGCUACCAAGUCUGAGGCAGAAGGCAAGUGGUUUGGUUGACUGAUACUGUGACACUCAAUAGAGCUGAAGGUUAUGUGGCGGACUUCUUGACUAUAUCACUGCACGUCGUAUCCAGGGAUCCAAAGGCCUACACGUUUACGUUGUAUAUACAUUCAGGCCCUCUUUAAAGAAGCUAAGGCAGAUGAAAUGCGUCUUGGCAUUUGCUCUAGAACAGUAGAAGCAAGGAUGUUGUUGAGCGCAUGACAAGUCCCAAUAAUAUGUCAAAUGCAAUGAUAUGGCCAAG